rnacentral:rRNA from 1 species
ACUCAAAUGAAUAGACGGGGGCCCGCACAAGCGGUGGAGUAUGUGGUUUAAUUCGAAGCAACGCGAAGAACCUUACCAGGUCUUGACAUAUAGUUAAAAAGCAUAGAGAUAUGUAAUAGUUAUAGCUAUACAGGUGGUGCAUGGUUGUCGUCAGCUCGUGUCGUGAGAUGUUGGGUUAAGUCCCGUAACGAGCGCAACCCUUAUCUUUAGUUACCAUCAUUAAGUUGGGGACUCUAGAGAGACUGCCGGUGAUAAACCGGAGGAAGGUGGGGAUGACGUCAAAUCAUCAUGCCCCUUAUGAUCUGGGCUACACACGUACUACAAUGGCAUAUACAGAGGGCAGCAAAACAGCGAUGCCAAGCGAAUCUCAGAAAGUAUGUCUCAGUUCGGAUUGGAGUCUGCAACUCGACUCCAUGAAGUCGGAAUCGCUAGUAAUCGCGAAUCAGAAUGUCGCGGUGAAUACGUUCUCGGGCCUUGUACACACCGCCCGU